rnacentral:rRNA from 1 species
UACGAAGGGGGGCUAGCGUUGUUCGGAAUUACUGGGCGUAAAGUGUGCGCAGGCGGCCGCGCAAGUCGAGUGUGAAAGCCCCGAGCUUAACUUGGGAAUUGCGCUCGAAACUACGUGGCUGGAGUGUGGCAGAGGAAGGUGGAAUUCCACGUGUAGCGGUGAAAUGCGCAGAUAUCAGGAGGAACACCGGUGGCGAAGGCGGGUCUCUGGGCCGAUAUUGACGCUGAGGAGCGAAAGCGUGGGGAGCGAACAGG